GGCUGUAUAGGCUAGAUCAAUACCUCAAAAAAAUAAAAAGAUAUGAAAUAAAAUAUUAUUUUAUUAUAUAAAAAUUAAAUAUAAAAAAUAAAAAUCUAUUUACAGUCUUCAUCGUAUUCCUGGAUUGAAAGUGUUGGGUAUAAAAUACCCCCAGUCGAAGUUUGUAAAGGAUUGACCCUUCUAGUACUUUUCCGGCUUUCGACCUUGUGUGGCGUCUCUCUGAAGCCCCUUGACCAUCCGAGCUUCCAUAAUACCGUCCGGACUUCUCCAACAAUGAGCUUCUCCAUCCAUCUAUCGGGCC
rnacentral:lncRNA from 1 species